rnacentral:tRNA from 2 species
GCCGAAGUGGUGGAAUUGGUAGACACGCUAUCUUGAGGGGGUAGUGGCCUUAUGGUCGUGCGAGUUCAAGUCUCGCCUUCGGCACCA